GAUGAACGCUAGCUACAGGCUUAACACAUGCAAGUCGAGGGGAAACGACAUCGGAAGCUUGCUUUUGAUGGGCGUCGACCGGCGCACGGGUGAGUAACGCGUAUCCAACCUGCCCAUCACUUGGGAAUAACCUUGCGAAAGUAAGACUAAUACCCAAUGAUAUCCCACGAAGGCAUCGGAAUGGGAUUAAAGAUUUAUCGGUGAUGGAUGGGGAUGCGUCUGAUUAGCUUGUUGGCGGGGUAACGGCCCACCAAGGCAACGAUCAGUAGGGGUUCUGAGAGGAAGGUCCCCCACAUUGGAACUGAGACACGGUCCAAACUCCUACGGGAGGCAGCAGUGAGGAAUAUUGGUCAAUGGGCGAGAGCCUGAACCAGCCAAGUAGCGUGCAGGAAGACGGCCCUAUGGGUUGUAAACUGCUUUUAUAAGGGAAUAAAGUGGGUCACGUGUGACUUUUUGCAUGUACCUUAUGAAUAAGGACCGGCUAAUUCCGUG
rnacentral:rRNA from 1 species